GGGAUAACACUUAGAAAUAGGUGCUAAUACCGCAUAAGCGCACAGCUUCGCAUGAAGGAGUGUGAAAAACUGAGGUGGUAUAUGAUGGAUCCGCGUCUGAUUAGCCAGUUGGUGAGGUAACGGCUCACCAAAGCGACGAUCAGUAGCCGGCCUGAGAGGGCGGACGGCCACAUUGGGACUGAGACACGGCCCAGACUCCUGCGGGAGGCAGCAGUGGGGGAUAUUGCACAAUGGGGGAAACCCUGAUGCAGCGACGCCGCGUGAGUGAAGAAGUAAUUCGUUACGUAAAGCUCUAUCAGCAGGGAAGAAAAUGACGGUACCUGACUAAGAAGCCCCGGCUAACUACGUGCCAGCAGCCGCGGUAAUACGUAGGGGGCAAGCGUUAUCCGGAAUUACUGGGUGUAAAGGGAGCGCAGACGGCAGUGCAAGUCUGGAGUGAAAGCCCGUGGCUUAACCACGGGACUGCUCUGGAAACUGUGCAGCUAGAGUGCAGGAGAGGCAGGCGGAAUUCCUAGUGUAGCGGUGAAAUGCGUAGAUAUUAGGAGGAACACCGGUGGCGAAGGCGGCCUGCUGGACUGUAACUGACGUUGAGGCUCGAAAGCGUGGGGAGCAAACGGGAUUAGAUACCCUGGUAGUCCACGCCGUAAACGAUGAUUACUAGGUGUCGGGGGACGAUAGUGCUCCGGUGCCGGCG
rnacentral:rRNA from 1 species